rnacentral:rRNA from 1 species
GAUGAACGCUGGCGGCGUGCCUAAUACAUGCAAGUCGAGCGAACAGAUAAGGAGCUUGCUCCUUUGACGUUAGCGGCGGACGGGUGAGUAACACGUGGGUAACCUACCUAUAAGACUGGGAUAAAUUCGGGAAACCGGAGCUAAUACCGGAUAACAUUUGGAACCGCAUGGUUCUAAAGUGAAAGAUGGUUUUGCUAUCACUUAUAGAUGGACCCGCGCCGUAUUAGCUAGUUGGUAAGGUAACGGCUUACCAAGGCAACGAUACGUAGCCGACCUGAGAGGGUGAUCGGCCACACUGGAACUGAGACACGGUCCAGACUCCUACGGGAGGCAGCAGUAGGGAAUCUUCCGCAAUGGGCGAAAGCCUGACGGAGCAACGCCGCGUGAGUGAUGAAGGGUUUCGGCUCGUAAAACUCUGUUAUUAGGGAAGAACAAACGUGUAAGUAACUGUGCACGUCUUGACGGUACCUAAUCAGAAAGCCACGGCUAACUACGUG